UUAGCGGCUAAGUCACUUUGUCUUUCUUCAGAGGUUUCGUUUUGUCGAUGUGCUCAUCUCGCUUCUGUAUUAGCGGCCAAGUGAGUGUCUUUUUCCUAGGAGGUGUCGUUUUGUCGAUGUGCUCGUCUCGUUUGUGUUAUUAGCG